UCCACUAGUUCUUGAAGAAAUCCGGGAGGUAAACUACUCACAACCCUCUUACUGAUCAGGGUCUGGAUUCUUGUCCUCUUGACCUAAAAUGGUUAAUGAAAGAAUGAACUACACUAACCUAAUAAAAAUAUCACACUACUCACUGAUAUAGAAAACUGAAUAUUAGUAAAAAUCAGAAAAAUAACUAAUAGAAUCAUUGCUUUAAUUAAAUACAUUUAACUUAAGAACGUUGUUUGAUACUUAUCGUGAUGAGUUUUCCAAACAACAACCUAUAAAGACUCAUAUCCAUGCCACUUUUCAUUUUGACGCACAAGAGAAUAAGAGACGACAAUUUUUCUCUCUUACUUACUUACUGGUACCCUUGGGAGUCCAUAGGGAUGUCCCCCUACUCGUGAACCCAAUAUCCAAUUUUAAUAAUUAACUGGUCGUCCCCAUCCUAGUCUGGUAAAUGGCGUCAAACAUUCUAUCGCCUCGAUAUCUCGUAUGGUAUGAGGGUCAACCAUAUCUAUCGAACCUUUCUGGUAAGGGACUUUCCAGCCCCGUUCGACUAAGGUAACGUUCACGGUAGGGUUCCUUAUAUACCAGGUCCGUCAACCAUUUCUUUGAGUACCUAGUAAGUCUUUCACAUAAAGAUUUUCAUCAAUAAAACAACCAAUAAACG
rnacentral:lncRNA from 1 species